rnacentral:rRNA from 1 species
UACGUAGGGUGCAAGCGUUGUCCGGAAUUAUUGGGCGUAAAGAGCUCGUAGGCGGUUCGUCGCGUCGGCUGUGAAAUCCCGAGGCUCAACCUCGGGUCUGCAGUCGAUACGGGCGGACUGGAGUUCGGCAGGGGAGACUGGAAUUCCUGGUGUAGCGGUGAAAUGCGCAGAUAUCAGGAGGAACACCGGUGGCGAAGGCGGGUCUCUGGGCCGGAACUGACGCUAAGGAGCGAAAGCGUGGGGAGCGAACAGG